rnacentral:tRNA from 1 species
AUCUACGUGCUGAAAAAGGGUAGCCAGAGCAAACUUAAGAUUUGUAAUUUGAGAGUUCGAGUCUCUUCGUAGAUA